UACGUAGGGUGCGAGCGUUGUCCGGAAUCACUGGGCGUAAAGGGCGCGUAGGCGGGAUGGCAAGUCAGUCGUGAAAUCUCUCGGCUCAACCGAGAAACGUCGGCUGAUACUGCCGUUCUUGAGGGAUGCAGAGGAGACUGGAAUUCCCGGUGUAGCGGUGAAAUGUGUAGAGAUCGGGAGGAACACCGGUGGCGAAGGCGGGUCUCUGGACAGUUCCUGACACUGAGGCACGAAGGCCAGGGGAGCAAACGGG
rnacentral:rRNA from 1 species